rnacentral:sRNA from 1 species
ACCGGGUGUGGUGGCGCAUGCUUGUAAUCCAAGCAGCUCAGGAGGCUGAGGCAGGAGGAUCACCAGUUCAAAGCCAGCCUCAGCAAAAGUGAGGCAUUAAGCAACUCAGUGAAACCCUGUCUCUA